AAGGAAACCCAGAGUAAGGUGGUUCUGGUUCUAUAAUGAGCACCCUCUGGGUAGGACCAGAUGAUCCCACAGAGUCUGAAUUCCAUCUACAAGUGUUUGAAGCACCUGGGAAAUUGAAUCAAUGGGUUUACAGCACAACUUAACUCUUUGAAGGAAAUUUUUCAGCUUUGUAACUGAGAGACAGCCAGCCUUUCAGCUGGGUGAGCUUUCCAGCUGCAUGAGAAAGAGCUUCAUAAGAAACCACCUACACUCUUCCCGUCCAAAAAAACAGAAAAAAAGAAAGAGAAGAAUAUAGAAAGAAUUGCUUCUCCUCCAAAAAAAAACAGUAAAAUUCUAUUGCAUAGCAAUAAGGGAAUUGUAGCCUCCUCAACUUGACCCCGCUGGUGAAGCCAGUUAGCACCGCAGUGACCAGAAUUCUAGCGACCAAGAGUGAAAUAAGCAAGAUGACCCUGGAAAUUGUGAGUAGGAGCCAGAGAACAAUGGAGAAGCCACACGGACUUACUUAGAUGAGGACGUGAGACAUGCUGUCUUUUCCCCAAAUACUGCAGGAAGAUAAGAUGUAAAAGAAAAAAAACAUAAACUGUAGGAAACCAAGAACACUCAAUAUAGAAAAAAGAGUGCUAAAUUGAACUACGCUUGAUUCCUAACUCAAGAAAGCCGGGACAGAUCAAGAUAACUACUUGAGGCUGGGCAAGGUGACUCAUGCCUGUAAUUCCAGCACUUUGGGAGGCCGAGGGAAGCAGAUCACUUGAGGUCAGGAGUUCAAGACCAGCAUGGCCAACAUGGUGAAAUCCUGUCUGUACUAAAAAUACAAAAAUUAGCCGGGCUUGGUGUCUCAUGCCUGU